rnacentral:tRNA from 1 species
GCUGCGGUACCGAAAUGGUUAUAACGGCGUAGUCUUGAAAACUAUUGUGUCCUUAGUGACCUCAAGGUUCGAAUCCUUGUCGCAGCG